rnacentral:rRNA from 1 species
UACGAAGGGGGCUAGCGUUGUUCGGAAUUACUGGGCGUAAAGCGCACGUAGGCGGCUUUGUAAGUUAGAGGUGAAAGCCCAGGGCUCAACCCUGGAAUUGCCUUUAAGACUGCAUCGCUUGAACAUCGGAGAGGUAAGUGGAAUUCCGAGUGUAGAGGUGAAAUUCGUAGAUAUUCGGAAGAACACCAGUGACGAAGGCGACUUACUGGACGAUUGUUGACGCUGAGGUGCGAAAGCGUGGGGAGCAAACAGG